rnacentral:rRNA from 1 species
CCUACGGGAGACAGCAGUGAGGAAUAUUGGUCAAUGGACGAGAGUCUGAACCAGCCAAGUAGCGUGAAGGAUGACUGCCCUAUGGGUUGUAAACUUCUUUUAUAAAGGAAUAAAACGAGGCACGUGUGCCUUUUUGCAUGUACUUUAUGAAUAAGGAUCGGCUAACUCCGUGCCAGCAGCCGCGGUAAUACGGAGGAUCCGAGCGUUAUCCGGAUUUAUUGGGUUUAAAGGGAGCGUAGAUGGGUUGUUAAGUCAGUUGUGAAAGUUUGCGGCUCAACCGUAAAAUUGCAAUUGAUACUGGAAGUCUUGAGUACAGUUGAGGUAGGCGGAAGGCGUGGUGUAGCGGUGAAAUGCAUAGAUAUCACGAAGAACCCCGAUUGCGAAGGCAGCUUACUAAGCUAUGACUGACAUUGAUGCUCGAAAGUGUGGGGAUCAAACAGGAUUAGAUACCCUUGUAGUC